UACGUAGGGUGCAAGCGUUAAUCGGAAUUACUGGGCGUAAAGCGUGCGCAGGCGGUUAUGCAAGACAGAUGUGAAAUCCCCGGGCUCAACCUGGGAACUGCAUUUGUGACUGCAUAGCUAGAGUACGGUAGAGGGGGAUGGAAUUCCGCGUGUAGCAGUGAAAUGCGUAGAUAUGCGGAGGAACACCGAUGGCGAAGGCAAUCCCCUGGACCUGUACUGACGCUCCAUGC
rnacentral:rRNA from 1 species